rnacentral:rRNA from 1 species
GUGGGGAAUCUUCCGCAAUGGACGAAAGUCUGACGGAGCGACGCCGCGUGAGUGAAGAAGGCCUUCGGGUCGUAAAGCUCUGUCAUCAGGGACGAACGGCCGGUGGAGUGGAAAGCCACCGGAUUGACGGUACCUGAGAAGGAAGCCACGGCUAACUACGUGCCAGCAGCCGCGGUAAUACGUAGGUGGCAAGCGUUGUCCGGAAUUAUUGGGCGUAAAGCGCGCGCAGGUGGGAUCUUAAGUCCAUUUUGAAAGUUCGGAGCUCAACUCCGUGAUGGGAUGGAAACUGGGAUUCUUGAGUACCGGAGAGGAAAGCGGAAUUCCCCGUGUAGCGGUGAAAUGCGUAGAUAUGGGGAGGAACACCAGUGGCGAAGGCGGCUUUCUGGACGGUGUCUGACACUGAGGCGCGAAAGCUAGGGGAGCGAACGGGAUUAGAAACCCGAGUAGUCC